CAUCUGUCCCAGAAGCGUUUCCAUGUUCGCAUCUGUCCCAAAGGCUUCUGCCAGGGGCAUGAUGUGCCCGGAGAGUUUAUAAUGCUUGUAGCUGCAGGACGCUCACUCCCCCCAGAGUCCGCUCUAGGCGGGUAGAUUAGCAGCUCACAAGGCAGGGCACCUGGUGCUAUUGGGGGCCGCCUGCCCAACUGGGGACAGCAGCAGAUGGGAACCGCAGACCCCGGGCUGUUGGAUGCGUAUCCAUGUCUGUACACUUGGAUGAUGGUUUCUAUUCUGUCUAUCUGGUGGCACAGAAUAUGUUUGUGGUCACAAGGCACAGUGAUGGUGAGCAGCAUGCCUGGGAGUCUGUUACUGGUGAAUCCUUCAAGUUGUGCUGACCAUGUGAGCCCAUUGGACAGAAUACUAAAGUGAGCCUUCUCCUAAAAGAAGACCUGAGAGAAUGCAGAGAGGAGAGGAGGGUCAAGGAAGCUGUGAAGAAACACUCACCUUUCAUUAAGUUCUCCCACCACCCUCUAUACUUUAUCUGUAGCAUGGUUGAUUUCAAGGACAUCUCUGACAACUUGAGAAUUGCUCCAGCAGAGCAAGAUCCUGAAAAUCAUCACCAAAAUCAUUGUGAAGAAGAGCCUUGUGCUACCUUCUGAAUUGGCAGAAGACAAAGAGAAGUAAAAGAAGUUCAGUGAAGUGAUCCCCAAGAAUUUAAGGUCCAUGAUAUGUUCUCAGGAUCAUGAUCACCUAAACAGCACUCAUUUCAUGGAGUAGGACUUAAAUCAGAUAUUGGUUGGUUCCUCCCAGAAGCUUUGUUAUCUUGAAGAAAGGACACCACUGUAGAUGGAAGAGUUUGUAGCUGGGAUGCUGUUUGCCUUUCUCCUUUUGUAGUGCACAGAGGACCUUCCAGUACAAAGAACACUAGAAGCAAGAGGCUAUCGAUUUGUUCCAGAUUAAGAUGGAUCAGAUUUGAUCAAGCCAGACCUCCUGAACCAUAACAGAUGGUACCUAUCAACUAAGGUUACAACCGGUCUUCCCAGGAUUUGAACAUAAUCUCUGCUGUGGGAUGUUCUGUAUGCUGUGAAUGUGUUGCUCUGAUUGGUUAAUAAAUAAAGUGUUGAUUGGCCAGUAGCCAGGCAGGAAGUAUAGGUGGGACAAAGAGAGGAGGAUUCUGGGAAGUGGAAGGCUGUAGCUGGAGAGCUUCUCUCCAGGUCCUACCAAGCCCUGGCAGUCCAACAGCCCACUUAUAAAAUAAACACACAGACGCUUAUAUUAUUUACAAUCUGUAUGGGGUGGCAGGCUUCUUGCUAACUGUUCUUAUAUCUUAAAUUAAUCCAUUUCCAUAAAUCUAUACCUUGCCACAUGGCUCGUGGCUUACCAGCAUCUUCACAUGCUGCUUGUCAUGGUGGCAGCUGGCAGUGUCUCUCCCACUCAGCCUUCCACUUCCCAGAAUUCUCCUCUCUCCUUGUCCUCCCUAUACUUCCUGCCUGGCCACUGAUCAAUCAAUGUUUUAUUUAUACAGAACGAUAUCCACCGCACUUUCUCUUUUCUUUUUUUUCAAAAAGGAAGGUUUUAACCUUAACAUAGUAAAAUUAUAUAUUAUUUGGGAAUUUGAGCGUAGCUUCUCUUACUAGUUCCUGCUGGAGGGGGGCGCUGUAUCUUAUGGGGACACAAAGAAAAUUUUAGGAUUAUGGAGUAGUCCAUGAGGUUGUAUCGUCUGAGCCAGUUGUCUUCAAACCGUUUUGGAUGUUGGAUCAUCUGGGCCAUGGUAUCAUCGGAGACCUUUCAGGGGGUCUUGGCUGGUCAAACCUGAUCUAUCUUAAUCUGGAAUAAAUCCAUAGCCUCUGGCUUUCUGUGGAAACAGAAGCAGAGCCUCCUUUCCAAAGCAACGUAUCCUUACAUCCAAAUUUUGAAGUCAAGGUACCUUAAAAUAUUUUGGCAUAACUCAACAGCUUUUGCAAUCAAAUGUUUUUCUUCAGUUACAAAUAUCAAAGAGAACAUAAUCCAGAUUCUCUGUGUGGUAGCCAUCUUUACGUGGCUUAUUUUUUAUAUUACCUUGAACCUAUUGCUUUAAACUGAAGCAUUCUAAGACUGAAACGGUGCUGUGGCUGCUGGCUCUGCCCACUUCAGCUUCCCACUUCAGCUUCCCAACAUGGCGGUGGUACGUUUUCCGCCAGCUCUGGGAGCCAUCGUGGGUCUGUGCUUUUAUCAAAGCAGCAUGUAGCCCAGAAACCUCUUUUUUUGUUUUGUACUAGCAAAGGCUAAAUCCACCACACAGCUUAAUGUGCCACUUGCAGAGGCCCAGCUUAAUGUGCCAUUUGCAGAGGCCUCAUUCCCGCCAUACUGCAGGUCAAGCACGCAUGCCAGGAACCCACCAUAGUAGAUAGUAGGUCAAACACACAGGCUGCCACUAACUUGAGAGAGACAACUAGGAACUGUUUUUAGCUCCGUUUUAGAAUCUUUUUUCUCAGGUUUUAGGUGGAAACUCUUGCCAACACGUUGGGCGCCAUUUGUAGCUGGAGAGCUUCUCUCCAGGUCCUACCAAGCCACGGCAGUCCGACAGCCCACUUAUAAAGUAAACACACAGAUGCUUAUAUUAUUUACAAACUGUAUGGCCGUGGCAGGCUUCUUGCUAACUGUUCUUAUAUCUUAAAUUAAUCCAUUUCCAUAAAUCUAUAACUUGCCACAUGGCUCGUGGCUUACCAGCAUCUUCACAUCUUGUCAUGGUGGCAGCUGGCAGUGUCUCUCCCACUCAGCCUUCUACUUCCCAGAAUUCUCCUCUCUCCUUGUCCCGCCUAUACUUCCUGCCUGGCCACUGGCCAAUCAGUAUUUUAUUUAUACAGAACGAUAUCCACAGCAGAAGGCUGAGUCAGGAGACACUGCCACCGCUGCCAUGACAAGCAGCAUGUAAAGAAACCAGUAAGCCAUGAGCCACGUGGCAAAGUAUAGAUUAAUAGAAAUGGGUUAAUUUAAGAUAUAAGAACUAGAUAGCAAGAAGCCUGCCAUGGCCAUACAGUUUAUAAGUAAUAUAAGUCUCUGUGUGUUUACUUGGCUGCGGGACUGGCGGGUGAGAGAGAUUUGUCCUGACUGUGGGCCAGGCAGGACAAGGAAAUCUUCAGCUACAAAUCUUGAAUUUUUUCAGGAUCCCCAUUAGACUACCAGCACCCACAGUCAGCAGGAAGUAGCCUAGAAAACUAUGCCCACAUUCCCAAAAACUGGAUUAUGAAUAUUUGUCUUUGUUUAGAGAUUGUUUACAAAUUGGUUAUAGUCAUAGUCAAUAUCUUUCUAAAAGAAAAAAGGGGGAUAGGAUAUAGAUAUGAUAGGAUGAAAGAAUAGAUUAUUGAAUCUACUUUUAAAGAGCAACAACUUGUUUAAAAAUGUUUUACAUUGCUAUGGAUUUUAGUUUAUUGAUAUAAAUUUAAAGUUAAUUUUGCUAGACUAUGAAUAUUUCUACUCUUGUUUAAGGUAUUAUGUUUGUGCAGCUCAUUUAAAAUUGUAAUGUAUCAUUAAGAAAUAUAGAUUAAUAAUUAAUCAUCUAUGAUAAUCAAACUCAUUGUCAUGUUAGUUAAGUUUUCUAGGUAUACAUAGAUAUAUGCUUACUUAAGGAAUAUAUCCUUCUGAAGUCUUUGACACAGUUGAAGACUAGAUAGUUAUAAUUAUAGUUUUCCUUAGUUAUGAUAAAAGAUAAAUUAAAUAUGAAACUUUAGACUCACAAAUAUAGAAUAGAUGAUAGAAUAUUUUCUUUAGUUUUGCAAAAUACAAAUAGACUAUAUAUUGUAACUGUAAUUCUUGCUUGAUAACUGUUUUAUUUAUUUAUUUAUUUAUUUAUUUAUUUAUUUUGGUUUUCUCAAGACAAGGUUUCUCUGUGUAGUUUUGGUGCCUGUCCUGGAUGUCAUUCUGUAGACCAGGCUGGCCUCGAAAUCACAGAGAUCCACCUGACUCUGCCUCCUGAGUGCUGGGAUUAAAGGCAUGCGCCACCACUGCCCAGCAAUAACUGUUCUAUUAUAUAUAAUUUUACUAUGUUAAAGUUAAAUCCUUCCUUUUUGAUUAGAUAGAAAGGGAAGUGCAGUGGGAUGACUUUCUGUACACUGUGAAUGUGUGUUGCGCUGAUUGGUUGAUAAAUAAAGCUGCAUUGGCCUAUGGCAGGGCAGGAUGGAGCCAGGCAGGAAAAUACAAGGGAGAUAAUGAAAGAAGAAAGGCAGAGGCAGAGGAGAUGCAAUUCCGCCAUCCAGGGAGCAGCAUGUAAUGGCACACAGGUAAAGCCACAGAACAUGUGGCAAUAUAUAGAUUAAUAGAAAUGGACUGAGUUCAGUUAUAAGAGCUAGCUAGCAAGAAAAUUGAGCCAUAGGCCAUGGACAUGCAAUUCCUAAUUGAUAUAAGCCUCUGUGUGUUUACUUGGGUCUGAGCAGCUGCAGAGCCAGGUGGGACACAGGAAAACUUCAGCUACAACCUAGACUCUCUAGGUCUGUGGAUUGUGGCAUAGUUAUCUUUUAUUUUAUGGCUUAUAUCCACUUAGGAGUAAGUACAGACCUUGUUUGUCUCUCUUGGUUUGGAUUACCUCACUGAGCAUGACUUUCUAUUUCCAUUCUUUUGCCUUCCAAUUUCCUGAUGUCCUUAUUUUUAACUCUUCUGUGUAAAUGUACCACAACUUCUUUAUCCAUUCAUUGGUUGAGGGGCAUUUAUAUUGUUUCCAAGUUCUGGCUAUUACAAAUAAAGCUGCUAUAAAUAUA